rnacentral:rRNA from 1 species
CCUCAGAUCAGGUAGGAAUACCCGCUGAACUAAGCAUAUCAAUAAGCGGAGGAAAAGAAACCAACAGGGAUUGCCCCAGUAGCGGCGAGUGAAGCGGCAAGAGCUCAGAUUUGAAAUCGUGUUUCGGCACGAGUUGUAGAGUGUAGGCCGGAGUCUCUGCGGAACACAGUGUCCAAGUCCCUUGGAACAGGGCGCCUGAGAGGGUGAGAGCCCCGUGGGGCGCUGUGUGAAGCUCUGAGGCCCUGCUGACGAGUCGAGUUGUUUGGGAAUGCAGCUCUAAGUGGGUGGUAAAUUCCAUCUAAGGCUAAAUAUUGGCGAGAG